UGCAUAGAUAUUACACAGGUACUCCGAUUGCGAAGGCAGCUUACCAAACCAGCACUGAUGCUGAAGCACGAAAGCGUGGGGAGCGAACAGGAUUAGAUACCCUGGUAGUCCACGCCGUAUACUUUGAUCACUCGCUGUUGGCGAUAGACAGUCAGCGGCCAAGUGCCACCGAUAAGUGAGCCACCUGGGGACUACGGCCGCAAGGUUGAUACUCGAAGGAAUUGACGGGGGCCCGCACAAUCGGUGGAACAUGUGGUUUAAUUCGAUGAUACGCGAGGAACCUUACCUGGGCUUAAAUGUGAACUGCAUUGAUUGGCAACAAUCAUUUCCUUCGGGACCCUUUACAAGGUGCUGCAUGGUCGUCGUCAGCUCGUGCCAUGAGGUGUCGGGUUAAGUCCCAUGACGAGCGCAACCCCUAUUGUUAGUUACCAGCGCGUGAUGGCGGGGACUCUAGCGAUACUGCCGGUGUAAACCGCGAGGAAGGUGGGGAUGACGUCAAAUCAGCACGGCCAUUAUGUCCAGGGCUACACACGUGUUACAAUGCCCGGUACAGCGGGCAGCUAGGCAGCGAUGUCAUGCUAAUCCCGAAAGCCGCUCCCAGUUCGGAUUGGAGUCUGCAACCCGACUCCAUGAAGGUGGAAUCGCUAGUAAUCGCGCAUCAGCCAUGGCGCGGUGAUACGUUCCCGGCCCUGUGUACACACCGCCCGUCAAGCCAUGGAAGUCUGGGGUGCC
rnacentral:rRNA from 1 species